AGCUUUGCGCAGUGGCGAUAUCGUAACCAAUAAAGAUUUACCGAGGUGCAAUCAUUGCUAGUUGAAAAAAAUCUUUUUAAUAGUGUAUCAUGUUUUCUACAAGGAAUUCGAAACAUUUUUUUUUCUGUUAAUGGU